rnacentral:rRNA from 1 species
GAUUGAACGCUGGCGGCAUGCUUUACACAUGCAAGUCGAACGGUAACAGGCCUUCGGGUGCUGACGAGUGGCGAACGGGUGAGUAAUGCAUCGGAACGUGCCCAGAGGUGGGGGAUAACGCAGCGAAAGCUGUGCUAAUACCGCAUGUGAUCUGAGGAUGAAAGCGGGGGACCAAGCAGCAAUGUUUGGCCUCGCGCCUCUGGAGCGGCCGAUGUCAGAUUAGGUAGUUGGUGGGGUAAAGGCCUACCAAGCCGACGAUCUGUAGCUGGUCUGAGAGGACGACCAGCCACACUGGGACUGAGACACGGCCCAGACUCCUACGGGAGGCAGCAGUGGGGAAUUUUGGACAAUGGGCGCAAGCCUGAUCCAGCAAUGCCGCGUGCGGGAAGAAGGCCUUCGGGUUGUAAACCGCUUUUGUACGGAACGAAAAGGCUCUGGCUAAUACCUGGGGCUGAUGACGGUACCGUAAGAAUAAGCACCGGCUAACUACGUG